AAGCUCUUGUUCAAUUUCUAAUAUGUAGAGUCCAGUAACUUGAUAAGUAGUGAAAAAGAUUAACCAGACUUAUCUAGUAAUGAAUGUGUUUAUUUAGGGUAAGUUUAACCAGCUACAGUGUCCAUUUUGUUUCACUUCUGGUUGCACAGUAUUGAAAGACUUGCAUGAUUUUGGAAUUUACCUAUUAAAAUGUACAUGAAAGCCAGCUAAUUUAUAAUGAGAGAGCCUGACUGUGAGCUGGGGCUAAGCAGUGCUCUGUGUUCUGUUCCUUCCUGCAUAAUUUUUACUAAACAUUUAGGCCAUAGUAAUUAUACUGCCUGUAUUACGAGUUUGUUGCUAGAAUUAAGUUAUAUGCAAAAACAUUUUUUCAACUGUGAAGUGCCUUGGUAGCAUAGGGUAAUACCAACAACAUUAUUGACACAUAAUUACACUCAAGUUUGCAGUCUAAUAAAGUCACAACCAAAUUCUGCAAUUUCAAAUGAAGAUAACCUUGUAUGUAUAUUAUAAAUUAGAAGCUGAAGUUGAUUUUCUAAGAGUUCUUUAUUUAAAUGAAGUACUCUAGGACUACUGACCUUUUCUGAAAUGGAAUUCUCAUUGGUCAGGCGAUUAAACAUUUUUAUACAAUUUGUCCAUCCUAAUCUCUUCAGGCUUUUGCUUACCUUGCCAGUUUCUACUGGCCAUUGUUGAAAAUAGAUUUAUGUGAAGCAGUCUUUCAGAAUUAUGCGUGCUUAUACUUGCAAUUUUAUGUUUUUAAAGUCAGAUUUUUUUUAUACACUAAGUAUAUAAUAAGAGUGUAUGCAAAUCAAGUAUUUUAAAUACAUAUUAGAAACUUUUUUUGAAGAACAGUUUUAAUUUCGAGUUUUGGAAUCAGUAUUUGCAUGUGUUUUUUGCUUUUCCUUUUUCUUUUAAGAAAAUUUUAAGGUAUGUUUUAUGAGUUAGUAUCACAUCAGAGCUUUGUCAUGUUUACAAGUUCUUUUCCUUUACCAGUGUCACAAUUUAUGUGAUGAUUAUUGUACAUUUCUUAAAAUCUCAAUUUUCUCAGUGUCUUAAUGAAAUAUUUUUAGGGUGCCUAUUUCGUUUUAACUCCUACAGUCAGUCUUUUAGAGUACAUGAGCUUUCUGCCCAGGUAGUUCAAAGGAGACUUUUUUUUUUUUACUUUAUUAUACAUUAUUUUAUCUUUUCAGUAAACUGCAUUGAUUUGUGUACACAGAUUGUGAGUACAACCCUGACGUCCCAUAGCAGCCCUCUCCCUACUCCUUCAGAGGUCCCCACAAAAAAAUUUGUUCUACUUUUUAACUUCACAGAAGUGGAAUUAUAGUACAUACUGUUGUCUGUCAGCUUUUUUUUUUUUUCUUGUGAGAAUCUCUGUGUUGAUUGUAGCAAUAUGAUUGUCAUUGCUGGAUACUGUAUCAUUUCUCAGUUGGUCCGUUCUACUCUUAGUGGGGGUCUGGGUGGUUUCUAGUUUGGGGCUACUGCAGAUAGUGCUGCUGUGGGUCACGGUGCACACCUGUGUGUGGUUCUGUUGGAGUCACGCCCAGCAGACACAGUGUAGCCGGGUGCACAGCCUCAUAAAAUACAUUGGGGAUGUUCCCUCUUUUUUUCUCUAAAAAAGUGAUUGAAGAUUGAUAGUAUUUCUGCUUAUCGUUUGAAAAAUUAAUCUAAUGGGUUGUCUUUUUGUUGUCUGUUAUUUCCUCUGGCAGUGUUUCAGUUUUUCUUUCGGUAUUUAGUUUUCAGUAGUUUCGGUGUGGUAGGCCAGAUACGAUCCUGAAGUUGUGGCUUGAUGUUUUUCAUCAAUUUUGGAAAAUCCCCGGUUGUUAUCUUUUCAUAUUGUACUUUUCUUUCUCCUUUCUCCUGAGAUUCGCCUAACGUGUAUAGUGAACAUAUAUGUCUUAUACUGUUUUAUUUUUUAUCCUUUUUACUCUUCUUCAGUCUGACAUUUUCUGCUGACCUGUUUUCUGAUAUAUGAGUCUUUCUGCUGUUUUCAAACAUAAAGAUUGUCUGUUAUUUACUUAAUUCUUUAAGUUUUGUUCUUUUUUCUUUUUGUAGAUUCUAGUUUUCUGGUGAAAUUCUAUAUCAUGCUCUAUGUUUUCUUGAACAUACUCUCAUAGCUGCUUCAUAUACAGUGGCAGAUCUCAUUACGGACUGUUCGUGAGUCUGCUUUCCUUUUCUGUUUUUUUUCCUCUGUUUUGUUGUUUAUCUUUGUUUGCGCUGCUCUAACAGUACCUGAGACUGGAUAAUUUCCAACAAACAGGGAUUUAUUUCUUAGAGUUGGGUUGUGAAGUCAAAGUCAAGGGGCUCAAGGGGCUGCGAGGUCCUUCUUGCUGCAUCAUCCUGUGGGAGAAAGUGGAGGAGUCAAGAGAGUGCCCCAGAGUGGGCAAGAGCAAGAGCUAGAAAAACAGGAGAGGGACACAGGAGAGAGAAAGGAUCCAUCACUGUCAGGAGCCCACUCCCAAGACAGUGGCAUUAAUCUUAAAGGUCCUGCCUCUCACUGCCGUUGCACUGGGGGUGAAGUUUCCAACACAGAAACUUUGGGGGGCACAUCCAAACCAUAACAUAAAGAGUUAAAGAGUUCUGCUACUGAGUCAUUUGAGAUCCCUGUUCUGAGGCCUCGUCAGUGCCCAGUUUUAGCGGGAAGAGAAGUGGCAGGUGGCAGGAGUCUGCAGAUUGGGGCCUGUACCUUUUUUGUGAAGUGUUUAUUGGAACACAGCCAGACUUUUUAGUUCACCUGUAGUGUGUGGCUGCUUUUAUGCUAGAGCAGCAGAGCUAGAGAGCCUGUGUGGCCCACAAAGCCUGAUUGUCACUGGAGCACUCUGAUGGUUUUGGAGGGGCUUUGGUGAUUUAUAUGGGGUUUCUAGUUGUUUUUCAUAGUAGGAAUGAUUUGCCACAAGCUGGUUCAUUUACAGUUGCAAGUGGAAAUCCACUACUGUGUAUUUGUUACUUAAAUUAUAGCUGUUUCUUUUCUUUCUCAAUUAUUGUAACAUCUAAAAAUCAUGUAACAGUUACUGUCUUUUUUUUUUUUUUUUAAUGGAAAACUUACAAUUAGUCCAGAAUUUAGAACGAGUUUAGUAU